UACGGGGGGGGGCAAGCGUUGUUCGGAAUUACUGGGCGUAAAGGGCUCGUAGGCGGCCAACUAAGUCAGACGUGAAAUCCCCAGGCUCAACCUGGGAACUGCGUCUGAUACUGGAUGGCUUGAAUCCGGGAGAGGGAUGCAGAAUUCCAGGUGUAGCGGUGAAAUGCGUAGAUAUCUGGAGGAAUACCGGUGGCGAAGGCGGCAUCCUGGACCGACAUUGACGCUGAGGAGCGAAAGCUAGGGGAGCAAACGGG
rnacentral:rRNA from 1 species